rnacentral:rRNA from 1 species
AGAGNNUGAUCCUGGCUCAGAUUGAACGCUGGCGGCAGGCCUAACACAUGCAAGUCGAGCGGAUGAAAGGAGCUUGCUCCUGGAUUCAGCGGCGGACGGGUGAGUAAUGCCUAGGAAUCUGCCUGGUAGUGGGGGACAACGUUUCGAAAGGAACGCUAAUACCGCAUACGUCCUACGGGAGAAAGCAGGGGACCUUCGGGCCUUGCGCUAUCAGAUGAGCCUAGGUCGGAUUAGCUAGUUGGUGAGGUAAUGGCUCACCAAGGCGACGAUCCGUAACUGGUCUGAGAGGAUGAUCAGUCACACUGGAACUGAGACACGGUCCAGACUCCUACGGGAGGCAGCAGUGGGGAAUAUUGGACAAUGGGCGAAAGCCUGAUCCAGCCAUGCCGCGUGUGUGAAGAAGGUCUUCGGAUUGUAAAGCACUUUAAGUUGGGAGGAAGGGUUGUAGAUUAAUACUCUGCAAUUUUGACGUUACCGACAGAAUAAGCACCGGCUAACUCUGUGCCAGCAGCCGCGGUAAUACAGAGGGUGCAAGCGUUAAUCGGAAUUACUGGGCGUAAAGCGCGCGUAGGUGGUUUGUUAAGUUGGAUGUGAAAUCCCCGGGCUCAACCUGGGAACUGCAUCCAAAACUGGCAAGCUAGAGUAUGGUAGAGGGUGGUGGAAUUUCCUGUGUAGCGGUGAAAUGCGUAGAUAUAGGAAGGAACACCAGUGGCGAAGGCGACCACCUGGAC